rnacentral:rRNA from 1 species
GUCGAACGGAGUACCCCUGAAGGAGUUUUCGGACAACUGAUGGGACUACUUAGUGGCGGACGGGUGAGUAACGCGUGAGUAACCUGCCUUGGAGUGGGGAAUAACAGCUGGAAACAGCUGCUAAUACCGCAUAAUAUGUCUGUGUCGCAUGGCACUGGACAUCAAAGAUUUAUCGCUCUGAGAUGGACUCGCGUCUGAUUAGCUAGUUGGCGGGGUAACGGCCCACCAAGGCGACGAUCAGUAGCCGGACUGAGAGGUUGGCCGGCCACAUUGGGACUGAGACACGGCCCAGACUCCUACGGGAGGCAGCAGUGGGGAAUAUUGGGCAAUGGGCGCAAGCCUGACCCAGCAACGCCGCGUGAAGGAAGAAGGCUUUCGGGUUGUAAACUUCUUUUCUCGGGGACGAAGCAAGUGACGGUACCUGAGGAAUAAGCCACGGCUAACUACGUGCCAGCAGCCGCGGUAAUACGUAGGUGGCAAGCGUUAUCCGGAUUUACUGGGUGUAAAGGGCGUGUAGGCGGGACUGCAAGUCAGAUGUGAAAACCACGGGCUCAACCUGUGGCCUGCAUUUGAAACUGUAGUUCUUGAGUACUGGAGAGGCAGACGGAAUUCCUAGUGUAGCGGUGAAAUGCGUAGAUAUUAGGAGGAACACCGGCGGCGAAGGCGGCCUGCUGGACCGCGACUGACGUUGAGGCUCGAAAGCGUGGGGAGCAAACAGGAUUAGAUACCCUGGUAGUCCACGCCGUAAACGAUGACUACUAGGUGUCGGGGGAC